CGGAAUUACUGGGCGUAAAGGGCUCGUAGGCGGCCAACUAAGUCGGAUGUGAAAUCCCCAAGCUUAACUUGGGAACUGCAUCCGAUACUGGAUGGCUUGAAUCCGGGAGAGGGAUGCAGAAUUCCAGGUGUAGCGGUGAAAUGCGUAGAUAUCUGGAGGAAUACCGGUGGCGAAGGCGGCAUCCUGGACCGGCAUUGACGCUGAGGAGCGAAAGCUAGGGGAGCAAACGGG
rnacentral:rRNA from 1 species